rnacentral:rRNA from 1 species
GCUGCAGUCGAGAAUCUUUCGCAAUGGGCGCAAGCCUGACGAAGCGACGCCGUGUGGAUGAUGACAGCUUUCGGGUUGUAAAGUCCUUUCGCUUGGGAGCAAGAGAAAUUAGUUAAUAACUAAUAAUUUGAGAGUACCAGG